AGCCCGCCCCCGCCAGGGGGCGCGGGGCAGCGCCGCCAUGGUCUCCUGGAGGGAGCUCGAGGGACGCUGGGCUCGGGACGUUUAAAGGGCAAAUUAAAGUUAUCUGGUCGCUGCCGGGGAACGCUAUGUCAGAGCAUGUGCCUGCGGUAUUAAUAGCUCCCGGGAGGCACAGGAGGGGACUGAGGAAGCUGGCAGGAGUACCUCAGGCAACAUUAACUGUUUCGUGCAGGCCGGAGGCCGGCACCAGGCGCUGAAAGCUCACCCAGAGAGACCGGGAUGUGGCAGCCAGUCAGCUCGUUGACUGAAGCCAACCUGAAGAAGCAAGACUUUAAGUCGUUUAAGCAAGACUUUAAGACUUUUAAGCCUUGACUUUGUGUGCAUGGAUUGGCACCAGGAAGGGUGAGGGAAAUGCAGAUCCUGGGCAGGCACCCCGGUGUGGAUGUUGUGCCCUCCAGCAAAGGUCACAGGGGGUUUAUGGUCAGCCUGGGAGGUGGCCCAGUGGUGCGAUGUCGUGAGCAUUGGUAACCAGUGAUGGGCGAGACCUCUCAUGAGUCAAGGACGAAGAGAGCUGCUUCAUGUUGGAUAUGCUGUGUGAACUUGCAGGUGUUGAGCUCUUUAAAUACCCUGGCAAGCUCCAGGACCUGGCUUUCCUGAAGAGGAGACAGCAAUGUGCCUUCCUGCACUGUACCCGCAUUUCAACGCUGCAAGAGAUCUGCUUCUUGUGGUGCUGACCAGAUUUUUUGGAAUGAAUGACAGCUGCAAACAUUAUCAACAACAUCUGGGCAGGACAAACUGAAGCCAUUUCUGACAGCAAUUACAGAAUUACAGAAUAACUGAAUUAAAGCUUUGUGCUCAGUCAGAUAACCUUCAUUGCGAUAGCAAAACAAGGUUUGGCGUGGAGAUUACUGAUGAAGAGUUUGAGCUGCCACUUGACAGAAUCCCCCUUGAUGAAGAUGGAAAUGUCAGAUACCCCCAGUUCAUGGCCAGUGGCCCUUACUCCAAAAUAACAUGAAGAAGGCUGGCUUUGAGAAGAGUGUUUAAGAAUGGCCAAGAGGAGGGAAAUACCAUGUGCGAAGCAGCAAUCUGCAAGACGGCAUUCUGCAUAAACCUGCCUAUCUGGUUUCAAGAUGUGUACAGUUCCAUUCGUCUCACAGGGCAGUUUUGCUCUCCCCAGCCUAGCCACCGCUGCUUGUCCUGAAGAAAGGGAAUUCAUUAUUAUCUGUCCUACUCGAAUAUGUGCAACCCCUUUCCGAAUUUAAUGAAAAAUCUUCCUUACCAGCCAACCUUCAACCUGUAUCUCUGCAGAAGGACGUAAAACCCAGCAGGACUCCCUUAUCACAUGGCCUUAACUGACGUGUCACUGUCAUUUUCGAUAUGUGUGACCUCUUGCCUCCAACCCCCAUGCUGAGAUCUCGUGUUCCUUUUUUCCCCAGGGUCAUGUUGUACACAGAGUCCCCACUGUGGCUCUGCUCUGCUGGGUCAAGGAAAACAUGAGAUGACAAUUUUUACCCUUUCCUAUCAAUGGUCAAAUUUGGAGAACUAAAAACAAGAGGUGUUUGUGGAUUUCAUCUUCAAGAUCGAUUUUAUAAAUGAGGGCAAAAUGUAAAGACGGACCCUCUCCAGGCCUUAUGACCUCCUGUACCUUUAAGAGAGGGGUAGCAGGAUGGCAUCUGACAGGCUCUGUAGCUGUCCCAGAUUUUAACUGUUUUCUUCUGAAUAGCAAGUAUGUGAUUCAAAGAGUGCCUGGCAAAAGCUUCUUGUAUUUUUGCAGUAGCAGCAUUGGAAAUAUUUCAUGCAUAUAUAAGAUCCAGCACCCGCGUAGACUGUUGUUGUUUUGUGCAACUUUUUGUAGGUUUGGGGAAAACUUAGUAAGUACUGUUUCUCUUUCUUUCUUUAAAAAAGACGAGGAGAGAAAGCCUGCAUUUUCUGCCAUUUCCCAAGAGGCUUUUUAUCUGUUUAAACCAACUAGGGAUUUUUCACAUAUUGACAUAAGCAUUCAUUUGCUAAUUUGCUGGACAUUAAACUGCACAGCAUUCUUGAAUGAGACUGGAAUACUUGGGUACUUAGUGCUGCUCAGAGCCUGCAUCAUUCCCAGUACACAUAUGGUUUUCCUCCUCUAUCUCCUAGAUAAAAGUCACUGUUUGAUCGCCUUAAGGAAAAGAAUGAGUUAAAUGGACCAAUAUUCUAGCCUUGGCUCUAAAACUGGGCCUUUUCAGAAACUCCUCAGCACCUGCAGCAGCUAGGUCAUUUGCACAUACAUAAAUAAAUAAAUUAACAAUGAAUAAAUAAUUUAAUCCCACCACACAAUGCCACCUUGCAGAUCUGAUCCUUUGCUCCCAGUGAAUUUGUCCAUUCCUAAUUCUUUUUGAUAAAGUCCUCAGAUACUUGCUGACUGUCAGUCUAAUUUUCUUAUUGUUUUCGCUUGAUUAGUUCUGUAUGACCUAAGGUCGCCCUUAAAAUCCACAUCUCUCGUGAAGACUCCGAAAGGCCUUCUUUUUUUCAAAGGGAUGGAAAGUGCCUGCCAUUUCUCCGGACAAAAGCCUGGAAGGUUUUCAGUUAUUAGCCUCCUGAAGCAGCCCUUUCGCUCACCCAAGCGCAAAAAAAACUCAUUAGGGGGCACCUUUCUUUCUGGCUUCUUUAUCUGACGCAUGUAGGGUUUACGUGUUUCAAGGUUUGCAGGUCUUGGAUGAAUUUGGACAGCCUCCCUUUUAACCCUGCCGGCCUGUGGUUAUGCCCACCACAGACUUUCACUGCCGUGUCUCCGUGCCCUUAACCACCUGGAGACGCUUCGUCUGUCUAAAAGCUGCUUUACACCCCACUUCUUGGGGAACAGGAGACACAUCGGCGUGCUGCACUUUGAAGCCACGCUCCCGCGGGGCACGGGUGGAAAGGCAGGCAAGGCCGCCAGCUGCAAACAGCCUCCGUGUUUUGCACUUUGUGAUUAAAAUAUGAAAUCAAGGUUUGUGUCUCAGUCAUGCAACCAUUAUGACCAUCAGAGAGAUUUGCAAGACUAAGGCAGUACAGCCCUGAGACCCUGCCGUGGCUGGGCUGCAUUCUGCCCUGGCCUGCUCUUUCUUUUCCAGGCAGCAAGGUAAAUACAUGCAGGCCGAGUUGCCUUCCUAAGCCGAGCCAGGUGGGAUAGGGAGGCUACCUAAAGGUGCAUCCCCAAACACAUAAUAUCUGUGCAUCUCGCCCUUCAGAGGGCAUAUGCAAAGUUGCCGGCUCCUGCAUUCACUUGGGAUGACAGAGGUUGUACGUGAGGACAGCACCCCAUCGCAAUACUUAACCAGCGCUGCCCGGUUAUGCCGCACCAUAGUUACCUUUUAAGAAGAAAAACAGGCUGAAACUGUACUGGCAGGUAUUACAGUAAUGAAUGUUUCUCACUUACCUAGGCUCUGGUGUGUUUGUUAAGGAGGGAUAUCACGUGAUUGCAAAGAGGGGCAGAAGCAAACCAACUGUGUUUUCUCUUGCAGAAAAGGGCUGUCUAGUCUCUUUGAUGAGAGACACCAGUUCAGUCUGGGAUCUGAGGCUAAAGAAGACAAAGAUGCACAGACACAGGAGGAAAAUAAGCAUAUCAAAAAAAAGCAUAGGUGGAAGAUAUCCUGGGCAGUUAUAGAAAAACCUUUGUCGUGCUCCUGCAAUACUACUUCUUUUUGUCCCACAGAGCAGCUUGUCUUCCCCUGGGGCAGAACUGACUAUCCUCCCUCUGAAUUAAAAUUUGGUAGGAAAGCUCAGGGCUGCAGCUGAGGUCCUGCUUCAAAGCAAGCAGACAACAGUUUUCUGGCCACUGAUCUUGGUCCUGGCUGUUUUCAGGAAUACUGUCCUUGUUAGGCUGGAGGAAUGCAGCAUUAUGACCACUAUUUUUUUUUUUCCUAAUUUGCCAGUUCCUCCAAAAUCUCCAUGACACUGACACUUUACCUCCAUUUGGUUUUCACCAGUUCCUCUGAACUCCAAGUAGAACAGCCCUCAGUAAAGUAUAAUAAAACAGGCCGGGUGCGUAAGGCUGAGCUUAUGUGCAAAUCCUUGCAGAGUCAACACUGUGAACUGCAUUGCUCUUUCUGCUGGCAUGAAUUCUGAGCAGUGGUUGGCUUGAAUAUAUUAUAAAAUAAUGCAAAACCCAAGUGAUCUACUCCAUAGUACAAAGUAAUAGUUACAUUGUGGUCUGAAGAAUAACAGAAACAAGAAGAAAACAGAAACAAGAAGGAAGUUUUCCACUGCAACAUGGCAGUAAUGUGGGGUUUGAUUUUGACUUGUGGUCCUUUGUCAGUAGAGACCUGCUCUCUGUUUCUAACCUGCUGACAGAGUAGCUGCCAAAAUUCAGUCCACUCUUCCUAAUUUGAGUAAUCUCUCUGUCUGGAAAACUUUGGGAUGACAGUGGAUUCUGGAGCAAAUCAUUUGGACCACAUGGAAAUUAUGGUAUUGCGAUAUAUCAGAUCUGUCAAGACAGCUCAGGGCACCAGGAGACAAAUCAGAAGAAGAUAUUUUAUCAGCACAACAACAGACAAAGUCUUGUUUAUAACAUUUUGCAUCAAUGUGCUUUCACCACCAAGCUAUUAAAAGCUCGCUGAAUAAACAGGACCCAACAACAGAAAAGGAGUUUGAAGGUUUAGAUGAAAUUAACUGUUGACAUCUCACUCAGGAGACCAUGUUACCUUCUGUGGAACAGGUGAGACAGCUGACCUUGGAAAUCCUGGUAAAAAUAAGCUAGAACUAUGGUGGGUGGUGAUGUCCCUGCAGAUUGACUCCUUAUCCCUCAUUCAGAGGAUUUUCUAUCUGAGCCAGCAUCACUUAGCAGUCUGAUAUCUGUUGGCAUAAAACUAUGAUCCCUAGAAAAAAGUUUUUAAGAUACCAGUUACUUUUCUGGCAGUUUGCUGGUUGAAUACACAGUAUUUGGCCAAUAAUCAGAAUAACUUCACAUUUUUCUUCAAAAUUGUCGUUGUCAUUAUCUGUCUUCAUUGCUCAUUUUAGUGCCAUUACAUUUUGUCUUUUGUUGUCUUGAGGAAAGUUUUGACAUCCAGUCUGAAAUUACAUGUGAACUCUGCAAACUCGAGAAACUUUAAUUAUACAUAAGGUUGACACAUCAGGUUUUCAGGAGUUCGUGGGGCAUUUGGCUACUCCUUGAGCUCUGCAUGUUCUCCCAAUGCCAAGCAUUGUCCACCUGAAAAAGGAGCUAAUAACUUAAGGUUAUGAAAAAGCUCAGCUAUGAUUCUGGCAUCCUGGUGGUCAGGGUGUGGACAAGUGUAAUUUAUUUCUGUGGGAAAAAAAAAUGGUGGUCAUGAAACUGUGUUCUAACAUGGUGCACUGUUCCCCAAAUGUAAUGAAACUGGAUGACUAGGGCAGUCAGUGCCAUAACAGCACCUUGCUAAGGAUAAGCUUUCUUUUUAAAAAUGCACAGAGCUCGAGCUUCAGUAGCAAAACUGGCUGGUGAUGAAUCCUAAAAGAGGUAAAUCAAUUAUUUUUUCUAAAAAAGGGAUAAACGUUGUCGAUCCUAUCAUGUAUCUAUCUGUGAUGAAAUGCCAGUUCCUAAGUACAUUCAUGAGAACACAGCAUUAUUCUGUUCACUCAUGUUGGCAACCAGAGCUUGUAAAAUUUCAGUGGCCGUAAUGAAGAGGAGAAUUGGUCUCCAUUUAAAUCAACAGCAAAAUUCUUCCCUAGCACUCAUGUACUUAAGAGUAUAACUUUUCUGAUUUUAUAUGUAGGUGUUUUAUACACAGAGUUCCUGAAGCCCUUUGCUUCAUGUUGGCAGAGGUGGCAGGGGAGCGAUGUGGCUGCUGUCCUGCAGGUGUCUUGGAGCUAAACCAGUGCUGUGGAGGGACACAAGCUUCUGAGCCUGGUAUUUUGACAAGCGGACUGUGGAGCAAUGACACUGGCUUUCAGUGGGUGGCGAAUGGCUUUGUCUGAAACAGUGCUUGCUGGAGGGAAAUAGUAAAAACCCAUUCUUCCUCACUCAAAAUUUUUCCCACCUGUUCUAGGAGUACAUCCAACCAGUACAUUAAAAAUAUCUGUGUCAGCUGGGAUACUUGGCCACUGGGGCCCUUAACACUCAUCGACUGUUUCAGUUCAGUGGCCAGACUUGCUAUACCUGCAGUCUGCAUAACAGGCACACAAAAAAAGUGAUCUUUUCUUAAAAUGAGCAGUGGGUCUUGCAGGUGAGGUGGAGGAAGAUUUUUGGCUGAGUGACUGGAGGCUGAACUUCUCUUAAUUAAAUAUGAUAUUUUAGCAUGGAAAUGUAUAGCCCCUCUGAAAUAUUAGGCUCUUCGCCAGGCAGCAGUGAGAGUGGGAUUUGCCUGCUUUUAUUUUUCCCCUACUUUUAUAUGUGAGCCCGAUGUAUUGAUCCUGCAUUCCCUUCUGAUUCAAAAAAGAGAAAGAUACAUAUUCCAAGGAAAAUCAGCUCAUUUGUAAGGGAGAAGCUAAAACUGGUCUGGUAAAUCACCUUCUGGAGGUGCCUGUUUGUCCUUAGCUAGAAGGAUUUGUUAGAAUAAUUGAUUUAUUCUUAGAUGUCUAACUUUAAGAUAUCUAACAAUUUUAAGUCAGAUGCUUAUAACUUUCAGUAAGUCCUUCCUUAUCAGACCACUGAAAACAUUUUUUUCCUUUAUAGUAUGAUGUUGCUUUAUGACAAAAUAAUUUUUCCGAGUACAUGAAUGAAAAAAGAAAAUCUCACUGGUCCCAUCCCAUCCCAUCCUUAUAUUUCAGUCUGAUAAGGAAUGAAACUUGCCGGCAUCCUGCCUCUGUGUUUGUGGACUCACAGGCUCCAAAGCACACUGUGUCCUAACCUUCUGCCCUGGAAGCUGUGAUGAGAUGCUCAAAGGGGAUUUGUGCCCUAGCAAAUGUUGUCCUUUUCCUGACAUAACUUAUCACCUUGGGGUUUAUUCUGUUUGCAGUUAGAGUGCCUGGAAGGCUCUUUGAAGGGCCUUUAGGAAGCUAAGUGCUGGCAGCAGGGCUUACCUCUCUGUUCCAGAACUCCAGUCCAUCCCAAAUUCCUGUAACUUCCUCAUAGAAGUCCAUGAAUUUACUGUUCUCUCUCUAAAUUUGAUCUCAGCCUGAAAAGGCAAAUUACUUACAAAUGCUUUUUGGAAGAAGCUCAUAAAAACCUGGCGGAAUAUACCCCAAAACCCCCUUUGAUAAUCUGCUAUAAAUUAAAAUAGAAUAUUCCCACAACUGGAAGAACAGUAUUUAUGUUCUCCCAGUUACCUGUCCUUUUAGCUAUGUCAUAUACUUCUCAUAGAGAUGUAUGUCUUUUACCUGCGUUUUUCUUGACAUAUUCAGUGCUGUAAGUUGCUUUGUGGAGGGGAGGUAGAAGCUCCUUUUGAAAGUAUAAAGCAAAGCUUAAUAUAACACAGUUGCUAACUGCACAUAACAUACAACGGGCUAAGAAAACUGAUGCUAUUAAGAAGAUUAAUUUUCUGAAGGGGAGAGACAAAGGUGCAGCAUGGAAAGUUGCAAAUAACUUUUGAGAAGAUUAAAUACUUGGUGAUCAUAAUAAAUCACAGCAUAUGCAUGCAGAUGGAGGCUGGCCUUUCAUUUAAGUAUAGAUUAUUGUGCCUAGUUGUGUGUUUUGGUUUGUUUUUUCUUGGGGCAAUAUUUUAUGCACUGAGUACCAAAGGCAGUAGGACCUGUUCUGUAAGCUGUUAUGUACAUGACUUCUCUUUCAUGAUCAAAGUAAUUGUGUGUUUAGGGCCAGGCUAGAUUAUUUACUUUCCAGACAUCUUUAUAAACAUGUGGCUGCAUAGAUGUAUUCAUAAAAUGAGCAUAAGGACUACUGAAAUAUAUCUCGCUUACCUGCUUGGUAAGCUCUCUGCUUGUGCAACUCCAUCAUGUCUCCUCCUCAUGGACUGUAGCUUCAGGAUCUCCAGGAAGCUUUUCCCUGCACUGUCUGAGGGUUUGGCCCACAAUAUGUGCAUAUAGCUAAAAAGUCUGUAGGAGUCUCAUUUGCUUUCCUGCAGACUUUUUGUAACCUGCUGUGGACAGUGGUACCUUUAAUCAUCAUUUUACUGGUUUUCAUGUGUUUUUGCUUUCUGACAGGUUUUGGCAUUGUGCAGCUCUUGCCCCUUUUCCAAUUACCUUCUCUCCUUCUCCAGACAUCAGAGAGAAUUAACAAUACUUCAGUAAUAAAACUCCAAGACGUGUUUUUUUCUCAUUUCUUUAAGAGAGAAAAAGGUACUGUGUGAAAAAAAGUUUGUGGUGUAGAAAAGUUAUUAUUGCAUCCUAUGAUUAAAAGGAAUUUUAUAGUGGAAUAUGUAAGACUUGGGUUAUAUUGAUUCCCUUAGAACGUUCUGGUAUAUGGUUGUAUUGUAUGUAAUAUAUAUUGUCUCAGGGUCUCCUGAGGUUCUUGAAAUUCUGUAAUCUGUGCUCAGUGAAUGUCAUCGAUCCCUGUUAUGUUUUUCUCAUUUUGAAACUGAAGCUAUAUGAGGUUUGUUCUACAUGUUUUCUUGUAUUGUUCUUUCUACAGAUCCCUGUCCUGAAAGCCCAGCAGUGGAUUUAAUAGUAAGGGUGAAUUAUUUCCAUCCUACCACAAGUUUGGUAGAACAACUUUGUACCCUAACUUUUACUCACAGCUGUAGUGGUAUCACCUGUUGUAGUUGAGUAAGAUUGUACAGGUGUAUCGAAUAUCUGUAUCAAACCAUGAGGUUGCCCUAGGAUACACUGAAGGACAUUUUAGUUUUGGAGAAGAAGAAGAAAAGAUCAGUCCUAUAUCUUAGUCAUAAAAGACUGACCUUUGAAGGCUAAUCUCUGUGAAUUCAUCCCCUGGAAUGGCACUAGUGUAGCAUGCAUGGGAAGUUAUAAGGGUCUAACAAAGCCACAUUUAAGCAAAGAACAAGGAAGCUAGACUAGGAAGUACUGAGAAAAGCCAAACUGAAUCCAGCUAUACCAUGGAAGAGGGCCUGCACAGGCUUCCUAUGUUAUGUAGUACAUAGUAGUACAUACUUGGUACACAAAGCACAUGGUACACAGGACACAUUUACUUCCAGAGGAAGAGAAUGGAGUUAUGGAAACCAUAGUCCCCAUGCCCCUCUGACAUGGAAAAACCACUCAAACCCUGUUGUGGUCUGGACCUCAGCUUCGUGUUUGCAACUCUACAUCAGAUGUCUCUUUCUACUUGGCAUCCUGAGAUCAAACCCUCUCCUGAUGGGCUACCAACUAAUCUCUUCUUCCAAAGGAAAACCGGGGCAUGGUGUUUCCUUCAAAGAUGAUGGAAGUGUCUUGGAGGGGCAAAAUUAUUAUGAGCAGGAGCUUCCAAAGAGGGACACGCAGUUUUUAGCCUCAAAGACUUCAGCCUUGAGACUCCAGCUUUCUAAAAGAAUGGUCUAAGCCUCACCUGAGGAACUAAGGGCUGGGAGAUGGAGGCACAGGCUGUUGAAUCGGAGUGAAGGCACUUCCUGCAGUAUCUUGGUCUUAAGGGUUUCAGCUGGACUGCACCCUACUGUAAACACCUGCACCAUUCAUGGGCUGAAAUUCACACAUGGCAGAGAUGAGCUCAGAGCCUGGGAGCUGCCUGGUUUCUGCAACGCAAACUGAGAUAGUCUCUGAAUAAAGGACCACAAAGUGAGCUGGUGUAAGUCCUCCUGCCUGCCCUGGGUUAAGCUGUCAGCAAGGGUAAAACUACAUCAUGUUCACCAAAUGCAUAACAACUGAGUCACAGACCCUGCCAUGAAUUCCUUGGUGCCUUGCAGGGCUCCCUUGUUCAGAGAGACUCAUUUUUAAAAUUACACAAUCAUUACGUUAGCUAGGACUGCACUUCGAGGUGUUGCAUUCUUACAGUAAUUUGAAAUUAAAUUGCCUUUAAACUUUUUCAGAGCAUAUAUGCAAAAGUUUAAGUUUUUUGUUAGCAAAAGCAUUUAUUUCAGCCUAAUUAACUGUAUUACUUCUGGUGAAAUAUAAUGCUCAUUUCAAUUGCUGUAGCUUGAAGAUGUAUGUUAAACAAUCUGUUUCCUAAAUUGAGCUGGAUUUAAUAUUCUGAGUUUGAAUCUUCCAAAUUACUUGUCUUUUUUCACAUUUGAUGUUUCAUCAAGUUGCUCUUUGUGUUGCUCUAUCUCACCUUUUAAAAAUGAGUUUUGCUUAUUUUAGUAUGCCACUCUAUAUGCAGUGUGGUCUGUGAGUAGGUAUCUGAGCUUUAACUUAUAUACAUAUUAAAAUGCCAUUCUUAUGCAUCUUACUGUGAUUACAUGUUCUCUUGAAGAGAAUCUGGUGUUGUUUUCCUAAAACAGCCUUUGUUCUUGAGUCCCUUACACAAUCUGUAGGAGAGUUUGCUAGAAAUAAACGUGAUGAUGUGAGAGGGGAUAGACUUGUCAAAGGCAGGAGCCAAAUCUGUGAGAUCAGAUGCUUCAGCUUAUACUCGGCAAAUAUGAAACUGUCAGCUGGAAGGUUUAUUUCCAAAGACUGUUUUUGCAAAUGAGUUGCUAGACAAGCAUGUAGCUGCUUCAGCAGCAUGUGUCCAAUACACAAACUGUUCCGAAGAGCCAUAGUCACAUAGAAGGUCUCCUCCUCCUCAUGCUUGGAUCACUUUGUUCAGGGAAGACACCCAUCUGGGCUUCUAGACACGAUUUAACUUUGAGAACGUGGUGGCCGGGCAAGAAGCUGAUCUGGAUAAGGUGCUCAUUGUACUCUGGCGUCUGUCACCCUCUGCUCUCCUAAGCACUUGUGGUAUGACUGUGGCGCAGGUGGCGCAGGCCACCCUGGGGUGCCUUUGAGCCUGAGGGAAGUGGGACCAGCAGUGGCAUCCCGCAGAGCAGUGGGACAGCAAGACUGACAAACUGGCAGGAUUUUUGAUAUCAUGAGAAAGGGGUGAUACCUGUACCACUAGGAAAAUGGCUAUCACAUACAUCACUGCUGGAACAGAUCUGUGAUUAAGAGGCUUUGGCAGUACUAUUCCUCCUCCUUCCUUCAGCUCUUUCAUCCCUUGGCUCAGCCCCUACAGAUAUGCUGAUGCAGCUGUUUGUGGUCCAAUGCUGUGAGCAGGGCCACUGACCCAAGGUAACAUAAAAAUACACUUUUCUCAUUAGCCGGUGACCUGAUUGAUAAUUUGCCCCCCAAAUGAUUGUGUUGGCCUGGAUUCAUGGACUGUGCUGUGUGGCAUGGGCUUUGUUUCCAGGCUGGAAACUCCACAGUGUGGCACUGCCACCAAAGCACCCAGAUCAUUGAAUGAUGCCUUCAGACUGUCAAUAAUCAUGGGAAGACAGAAUUCUGAUCUGUGUUAUACAUGCUCGAAGUUUAUAAACCCUUUUUACUUAUUUAAAUUUUACUUCCAUGAUAGUGAAAAUAAAUCCUCAUGAUAAAUUA